rnacentral:rRNA from 1 species
CGGAGGGUGCAAGCGUUAUCCGGAUUCACUGGGUUUAAAGGGUGCGUAGGAGGGCAGGUAAGUCCGUGGUGAAAUCUCUGAGCUUAACUCAGAAACUGCCGUGGAUACUAUCUGUCUUGAAUACCGUGGAGAUGAGCGGAAUAUGUCAUGUAGCGGUGAAAUGCUUAGAUAUGACAUAGAACACCAAUUGCGAAGGCAGCUCGUUACACGAAUAUUGACUCUGAGGCACGAAAGCGUGGGGAUCAAACAGGAUUAGAUACCCUGGUAGUCCACGCCCUAAACUAUGGAUACUCGACAUACGCGAUACACUGUGUGUGUCUGAGCGAAAGCAUUAAGUAUCCCACCUGGGAAGUACGACCGCAAGGUUG